GAUGAACGCUAGCGGCAGGCCUAAUACAUGCAAGUCGAACGAUAGAAGAGGGCUUGCUCUCUUCGAAAGUGGCGCACGGGUGCGUAACGCGUAUGCAACCUACCUUAAUCAGGGGGAUAGCCCGAAGAAAUUCGGAUUAACACCGCAUAAAAUCACAGUACAGCAUUGUACAAUGAUCAAAUAUUUAUAGGAUUAAGAUGGGCAUGCGUGACAUUAGCUAGGUGGCGGGGUAACGGCCCACCAAGGCGACGAUGUCUAGGGGAUCUGAGAGGAUGACCCCCCACCCUGGUACUGAGACACGGACCAGACUCCUACGGGAGGCAGCAGUAAGGAAUAUUGGUCAAUGGAGGCAACUCUGAACCAGCCAUGCCGCGUGCAGGAAGACGGCCCUCUGGGUUGUAAACUGCUUUUAUUCGGGAAUAAACCUCAUUACGUGUAAUGAGCUGAAUGUACCGAAGGAAUAAGGAUCGGCUAACUCCGUGCCAGCAGCCGCCGUAA
rnacentral:rRNA from 1 species